rnacentral:rRNA from 1 species
GCUACCGCUAUUGGAAUUCGAUUAAGCCAUGCGAGUCGAGAGAUUUCGGAUCUCGGCAGACGUCUCAGUAACACGUGGAUAAUCUACCCUUGAGUGGGGGAUAAGCUUGGUAACCUGAGUAUAAUACCCCAUAAGUCUAGGAUGCUGGAAUGCUUCUAGGCCGAAAGUUCCGGCGCUCAAGGAUGAGUCUGCGGCCUAUCAGGCUGUAGUGGGUGUAACGUACCCACUAACCUUUGACGGGUACGGGCCUUGAGAGAGGUUGCCCGGAGUUGGACUCUUAGACACGAGUCCAGGCCCUACGGGGUGCAGCAGGCGCGAAAACUUCACAAUGUGGGAAACCACGAUGAGGGAAUUCCAAGUGCCAACACAUUGUGUUGGCUGUUCAUCUGCCUAAAAAGCUGGUGAAGUAAGGGCCGGGUAAGACGGGUGCCAGCCGCCGCGGUAAUACCCGCGGCCCGAGUGGUGGUCGUUAUUAUUGAGCCUAAAGCGUCCGUAGCCGGUUUAGUAAAUCUCUGGGUAAAUCGGGCGGCUUAACCGUCCGAAUUCCGGAAAGACUGCUAAACUUGGGACCGGGGGAGGUUGGAGGUACUCCUGGGGUAGGGGUGAAAUCCUGUAAUCCUGGGGGGACCACCAGUGGCGAAGGCGUCCAACCAAAACGGCUCCGACGGUAAGGGACGAAGCCUUGGGGCGCAAACGGGAUUAGAUACCCCGGUAGUCCAAGGUGUAAACGCUGCAGGUUUGGUGUUGGGGGUCCCACGAGGGCGCCCAGUGCCGGAGAGAAGUUGUUAAACCUGCCGCUUGGGGAGUACGUCCGCAAGGAUGAAACUUAAAGGAAUUGGCGGGGGAGC